AAGAUGGCGACCUCCGUGUUAAACACGCUGCUGAGGCGGCUUACUGUCUUUUCGUCCUUCCGAAGUGCCUACGGAGUUCAGGUUCCCCUUCAGAGUCUUUGCACCAAAGCCCCCUCUGAGAGAGAUUCUUCACCCCCAUUUCCUAUUUCCCCUUAUAAAGAUGAACCCUGGAAAUACCUGGAAUCAGAAGAAUAUCAGAACCGCUAUGGUUCCCGCCCCGUCUGGGCUGACUACCGCCGCAACCACAAAGGUGGUGUACCUCCACAGAGGACUCGAAAGACAUGUAUCCGUAGGAAUAAAGUUGCUGGGAAUCCUUGCCCCAUCUGCCGGGAUCACAAGUUGCAUGUUGACUUUAGGGUGUCUGUAUGAAGCAACACAAGAAGUUGACACAGGCUAUCCAGAAAGCCAGGGAUCAUGGUCUCCUUAGUUACCACAUUCCCCAGGUUGAACCCCGAGACCUUGACUUCAGUACCUCUCAUGGAGCUGUGAGUGCUACUCCGCCAGCCCCCACCCUGGUUUCGGGGGACCCUUGGUACCCAUGGUACAACUGGGAACAACCUUCAGAGACAGAAUUGUCCUGCAUUCACCGCCGUUAUCAGGGUCAUCUCCAAGAAGAGAGUGGCCCUCCACCUGAGUCAAUGCCUGAGGUGCCCCCCACAACAGCCGAAGCUUCCUUUACUGAGCAGACCAGUCCCCAGAGUGCUUCAUAGGAGCCAUAGACUGGGAAGGGGGCCUGACUAGGAAGUGGUGCCUAGGAUUACAUAAAUGGGAUGUUACCCUGAAGAUUUAUAAUUUAGGCAGGUCCAGGAAGGACAUGAAUGUUGUUGAAGGGGAUACAUCUGAGGCUGAGGGAGGGAAGCACAGAUGUGUAUCAGAAACCCCAACCCCUAUAUAUUGUCAGUAGAUGGUUUAAAAAUUUGUUGCUCUUUCAGACUUCUGCCAACUCAGCUUUUCCACAAUAAAGCUGUAUCUUCUGUCUCUGA